CAGUAGCCGCGGGAAUACGUAGGGUGCGAGCGUUAAUCGGAAUUACUGGGCGUAAAGCGCACGUAGGCGGAUCGAUCAGUCAGGGGUGAAAUCCCAGAGCUCAACUCUGGAACUGCCUUUGAUACUGUCGAUCUGGAGUAUGGAAGAGGUGAGUGGAAUUCCGAGUGUAGAGGUGAAAUUCGUAGAUAUUCGGAGGAACACCAGUGGCGAAGGCGGCUCACUGGUCCAUUACUGACGCUGAGGUGCGAAAGCGUGGGGAGCAAACAGGAUUAGAUACCCGAGUAGUCCCUGUCUCUUAUAC
rnacentral:rRNA from 1 species